AACGAACGCUGGCGGCGUGCCUAACACAUGCAAGUCGUGCGAGAAAGUUCCUUCGGGAGCGAGUAAAGCGGCGCACGGGUGAGUAACACGUAGGUAACCUGCCCCCCAGUCUGGAACAACUAGAGGAAACUCUAGCUAAUGCCGGAUGAGACCACGAUCCCUUCGGGGUUGCGGCCAAAGAUGGCCUCUACUUGUAAGCUAUCGCUGAGGGAUGGGCCUGCGGGCCAUUAGCUUGUUGGUGAGGUAACGGCUCACCAAGGCUGUGAUGGCUAGCUGGUCUGAGAGGAUGACCAGCCACACUGGGACUGAGACACGGCCCAGACUCCUACGGGAGGCAGCAGUGGGAAUAUUGCGCAAUGGGCGAAAGCCUGACGCAGCGACGCCGCGUGGGUGAUGAAGGCCUCGGUCGUAA
rnacentral:rRNA from 1 species